CGAAAGAUUAAAGCAGCAAUGCGCUUGGGGAUGGGCUCGCGGCCUAUUAGUUAGUUGGUGAGGUAACGGCUCACCAAGGCGAUGACGGGUAGCCGGUCUGAGAGGAUGUCCCCCACAUUGGAACUGAGACACGGUCCAAACUCCUACGGGAGGCAGCAGUGAGGAAUAUUGGUCAAUGGGCGCAGGCCUGAACCAGCCAAGUAGCGUGAAGGAUGACUGCCCUAUGGGUUUGUAAACUUCUUUUAUAUGGGAAUAAAGUUUUCCACGUGUGGAAUUUUGUAUGUACCAUAUGAAUAAGGAUCGGCUAACUCCGUGCCAGCAGCCGCGGUAAUACGGAGGAUUCCGAGCGUUAUCCGGAUUUAUUGGGUUUAAAGGGAGCGUAGGUGGACAGUUAAGUCAGUUGUGAAAGUUUGCGGCUCAACCGUAAAAUUGCAGUUGAUACUGGCUGUCUUGAGUACAGUAGAGGUGGGCGGAAUUCGUGGUGUAGCGGUGAAAUGCUUAGAUAUCACGAAGAACUCCGAUUGCGAAGGCAGCUCACUGGACUGCAACUGACACUGAUGCUCGAAAGUGUGGGUAUCAAAACAGGAUUAGAUACCCUGGUAGUCCACACAGUAAACGAUGAAUACUCGCUGUUUGCGAUAUACAGUAAGCGGCCAAGCGAAAGCAUUAAGUAUUCCACCUGGGGAGUACGCCGGCAACGGUGAAAACUCAAAAGGAAUUGACGGGGGCCCGCACAAGCGGAGGAACAUGUGGUUUAAUUCGAUGAUACGCGAGGAACCUUACCCGGGCUUAAAUUGCAUUUGAAUAUAUUGGAAACAGUAUAGCCGUAAGGCAAAUGUGAAGGUGCUGCACGGUUGUCGUCAGCUCGUGCCGUGAGGUGUCGGCUUAAGUGCCAUAACGAGCGCAACCCUUAUCUUUAGUUACUAACAGGUCAUGCUGAGGACUCUAGAGAGACUGCCGUCGUAAGAUGUGAGGAAGGUGGGGAUGACGUCAAAUCAGCACGGCCCUUACGUCCGGGGCUACACACGUGUUACAAAUGGGGGGUACAGAAGGCAGCUACCUGGUGACAGGAUGCUAAUCCCAAAAGCCUCUCUCAGUUCGGAUCGAAGUCUGCAAACCCGACUUCGUGAAGCUGGAUUCGCUAGUAAUCGCGCAUUCAGCCAUGGCGCGGGAAAUACGUUCCCGGCCC
rnacentral:rRNA from 1 species